AACGAACGCUGGCGGCAGGCUUAACACAUGCAAGUUGAACGGGAUUUGUGUGGUGCUUGCACCAUAUAAUGAGAGUAGCGCACUGGUGAGUAACACGUGGGAACGUGCCUUUUAGUGGGGGAUAACAUCUGGAAACGGAUGCUAAUACCGCAUAAGCGCACAGGAUUGCAUGAUCUAGUGUGAAAAACUCCGGUGGUAUAAGAUGGACCCGCGUCUGAUUAGCUGGUUGGUGAGGUAACGGCCCACCAAGGCGACGAUCAGUAGCCGACCUGAGAGGGUGACCGGCCACAUUGGGACUGAGACACGGCCCAAAACUCCUACGGGAGGCAGCAGUGGGGAAUAUUGCACAAUGGGGGAAACCCUGAUGCAGCGACGCCGCGUGAGCGAAGAAGUAUUUCGGUAUGUAAAGCUCUAUCAGCAGGGAAGAAAAAAUGACGGUACCUGACUAAGAAGCCCCGGCUAACUACGUG
rnacentral:rRNA from 1 species